rnacentral:rRNA from 1 species
UACGGGGGGGGCAAGCGUUGUUCGGAAUUACUGGGCGUAAAGGGCUCGUAGGCGGCCAACUAAGUCCGACGUGAAAUCCCCAGGCUCAACCUGGGAACUGCGUCGGAUACUGGAUGGCUUGAAUUCGGGAGAGGGAUGCAGAAUUCCAGGUGUAGCGGUGAAAUGCGUAGAUAUCUGGAGGAACACCGGUGGCGAAGGCGGCCCACUGGAUCGGUACUGACGCUGAGGUGCGAAAGCGUGGGGAGCAAACAGG